AAAGUACUCCCUCCGUUCUGAAUUACUUGUCGCAGGUAUGGAUGUAUCUAGAUGUAUUUUAGUUCUAGAUACAUCAAUUUCUGCGACGAGUAAUUUGGAACGGAGGGAGUAUUAC
rnacentral:pre_miRNA from 1 species